rnacentral:rRNA from 1 species
UAAUACGUAGGGUGCGAGCGUUAAUCGGAAUUACUGGGCGUAAAGCGUGCGCAGGCGGUUUUGUAAGCCAGAUGUGAAAGCCCCGGGCUUAACCCGGGAAUGGCAUUUGGGACUGCAAGGCUCGAGUGCGGCAGAGGAGACUGGAAUUCCUGGUGUAGCAGUGAAAUGCGUAGAUAUCAGGAGGAAUACCGAUGGCGAAGGCAGGUCUCUGGGCUGACACUGACGCUCAUGCACGAAAGCGUGGGGAGCAAACG